UCCAUUUCUCAUUUCUGCCUAUUAGAAUCCUACCUACCGAUCUCAUCUGAUCCCAGAAGCUAAGCAGGGUCGGGCCUGGUUAGUACUUGAAUGGGAGACUACCUAGAAAGACCAGGUGCUGUAGGUG
rnacentral:rRNA from 1 species